GAUGAACGCUGGCGGCGUGCCUAAUACAUGCAAGUCGAGCGAACAGACGAGGAGCUUGCUCCUCUGACGUUAGCGGCGGACGGGUGAGUAACACGUGGAUAACCUACCUAUAAGACUGGGAUAACUUCGGGAAACCGGAGCUAAUACCGGAUAAUAUAUUGAACCGCAUGGUUCAAUAGUGAAAGACGGUUUUGCUGUCACUUAUAGAUGGAUCCGCGCCGCAUUAGCUAGUUGGUAAGGUAACGGCUUACCAAGGCGACGAUGCGUAGCCGACCUGAGAGGGUGAUCGGCCACACUGGAACUGAGACACGGUCCAGACUCCUACGGGAGGCAGCAGUAGGGAAUCUUACGCAAUGGGCGAAAGCCUGACGGAGCAACGCCGCGCGAGUGAUGAAGGUCUUCGGAUCGUAAAACUCUGUUAUUAGGGAAGAACAAAUGUGUAAGUAACUAUGCACGGCUUGACGGUACCUAAUCAGAAAGCAACGGCUAACUACGUG
rnacentral:rRNA from 1 species